CAAACUGGAAGCCAGGAAUAAAUCAAGAUGUACAAAACCCUAAAGAAGAUCCAUUUCUUGGGCAGAAAACGAACACCUCCCUCCCAAGCUCAAGGAGGUGGAUAAAAAGUCCGGCUUUUGUUUGGCGCUCUCGUGUUUCGUAGCAGCGCUGCAGCCGCUCGCGCACCCCGCGGCCCCGUCCCGCAGCCGGCUCUGCUCGCAGCCUUCCCGGCCAUAAGCAGCGGGGUGAACUGCCUGGGGGACACAUCACCAGCACAGCCACGCGUGGAAGUUACAGCCAUUCACCCCGGCAGCGAUUGCCAUCUUUCAAGGAGUUCUUUUGAUUUAUUUUUUACGUUCCAACCCAGGUCGGCGUUCUGCCUCACAACUCCCUCUUUGAGACGCACGGCCCGGUUGGCCCUGGGCUGCGUUUUGUUUUCUCUCUGGCAUUUUGCUGUCGUUUUGUUAGGAGGGCUUCCCUCCUUCUGUAGACUUUGAGGUAGAAGUGGAGCGCUGCCGAAACUUCUGAUGGGAUAACCAUUUGUUUUACGGUGCGAAACGCUCAGCACAGACUUUGUUGC
rnacentral:lncRNA from 7 species